GACGAACGCUGGCGGCGUGCUUAACACAUGCAAGUCGAGCGGUAAGGCCCUUUCGGGGGUACACGAGCGGCGAACGGGUGAGUAACACGUGGGUGACCUGCCCUCAGCUCUGGGAUAAGCCUGGGAAACUGGGUCUAAUACUGGAUAUGACUCCACGGUGCAUGUCGUGGGGUGGAAAGCCUUGUGCGGCUGAGGAUGGGCCCGCGGCCUAUCAGCUUGUUGGUGGGGUGANGGCCUACCAAGGCGACGACGGGUAGCCGGCCUGAGAGGGCGACCGGCCACACUGGGACUGAGACACGGCCCAGACUCCUACGGGAGGCAGCAGUGGGGAAUCUUGCGCAAUGGGCGAAAGCCUGACGCAGCGACGCCGCGUGAGGGAUGGACGGCCUGG
rnacentral:rRNA from 1 species